ACUCUGGGACCUUCUCUGCCCUCUUUCUAGGGGAGCUGUUGUAAGUGCCCCAUCUUGAACAAGAGGUGUUCGAAGAUGGUCAGAUACCGUUGUAGUUCUGACAAUAAAUGAUGCCCACUGCCAAACUGGCAGCAUUGCCGAGUUGCUUCGUGAAACCCAUGCCUUUGGGUUCCGGAGAGAGUAUGGUUGCAAAGCUGUGAUGGAUGGAAGGGCACAAUCAGGAGUGGAGUCUUUAAUUUGACAGAACACGGGAAACCUCACCCUAAUGUUGAAGAUCUCCUUGCCCUUUGUAUACACCGCCUGUUGUUUCCACCAAUUGUAGGGUUUGUGAAGUCCUUUGGAAGGCCCAGCUGAGGUUGGUUAUGGCCCUGGCUGAGUGCUUACGAGACCCACAAAUGUGGCUACCUAGGGGAAGUAAAUGUUAAGCCUCUAUAUGAGCGUAC
rnacentral:ncRNA from 1 species